GAUCCGGGUUGGAAUGAAGGGAUGGAGAGGGAACCGAGGGAUGGAUCUGGGCAGGAAUGGAGGGAUGGAUCCAGCAAACUUCUUUCAACCUGUAGUUUGAAGAGGCACCUUUGAAAGACAAGGUCCUCUGAGAAACAUUUGAAUUUCAUGUCCUUGACAUUCUGGUUUCUGUGUUUACAGAAGAAGGAAGGUAACAUUGAUUGGACUG